GUGAGGAAUUUUCCGCAAUGGGCGAAAGCCUGACGGAGCAAUGCCGCGUGAAGGAUGAAGGCCUAUGGGUUGUAAACUUCUUUUCUCAGAAAAGAAUUAUGACGGUAUCUGAGGAAUAAGCAUCGGCUAACUCUGUGCCAGCAGCCGCGGUAAGACAGAGGAUGCAAGCGUUAUCCGGAAUGAUUGGGCGUAAAGCGUCUGUAGGUUGUUUAAAAAGUAUUCUGUCAAAGAUUAGGGCUUAAACCUAGAUAGGCAGAAUAAACUUUUAAGCUAGAGUUUGGUAGAGGCAGAGGGAAUUCCCGGUGGAGCGGUGAAAUGCGUAGAUAUCGGGAGGAACACCAAAGGCGAAGGCACUCUGCUGGGCCAAUACUAACACUGAGAGACGAAAGCGAGGGGAGCAAAUGGGAUUAGAUACCCUAGUAGUCC
rnacentral:rRNA from 1 species